CAGCCGCCGCGGUAAUACGAAGGGUGCAAGCGUUAAUCGGAAUUACUGGGCGUAAAGCGUGCGUAGGCGGUUUGUUAAGUCUGUUGUGAAAUCCCCGGGCUCAACCUGGGAAUGGCAAUGGAUACUGGCAGGCUAGAGUGUGUCAGAGGAUGGUGGAAUUCCCGGUGUAGCGGUGAAAUGCGUAGAGAUCGGGAGGAACAUCAGUGGCGAAGGCGGCCAUCUGGGACAACACUGACGCUGAGGCACGAAAGCGUGGGGAGCAAACAGGAUUAGAUACCCCGGUAGUCCCUGUCUCUUAUAC
rnacentral:rRNA from 1 species